GGGUCAUUAGCUCAGUUGGUAGAGCAGUGGACUUUUAAUCCAUUNAUCCAUUGGUCGAUGGUUCAAGUCCAUCAUGACCCACCA
rnacentral:tRNA from 1 species